GACGGAGGAUGCAAGUGUUAUCCGGAAUCACUGGGCGUAAAGCGUCUGUAGGUGGUUUAAUAAGUCAACUGUUAAAUCUCGAGGCUCAACCUCAAAAUCGCAGUCGAAACUAUUAGGCUAGAGUAUAGUAGGGGUAAAGGGAAUUUCCAGUGGAGCGGUGAAAUGCGUAGAGAUUGGAAAGAACACCGAUGGCGAAGGCACUUUACUGGGCUAUUACUAACACUCAGAGACGAAAGCUAGGGUAGCAAAUGGG
rnacentral:rRNA from 1 species